CAUUUAUUAACUUUUGCCUUUUUAAAUUGACUUCAGAAAGUUAUCUACAGCCACACAUCCACUGUAUACCAAGUUAUGAUGAUCAAUUAUGAGAAUGCAAAAGGAUUUAUAGAUCAUUAAACAAGCAACAAAAAGAUGGGUGCUCAUGGUGGCCUCCAAAUAAAUACAUGGACAGGCUGCUAAAGAGGGUCAGGAUGAUGGAGAUGCAAGAGCCAAAGACAGCAGGGACCAAACACCAGGCCAGAAUUCUGCAUGAGUCAGUUUCCAGCCUUUUUCACAAAGUUGCCGACAACUGGAAGAAUGUCCCAAAUUGCUGAAAAAAGAAAUUCAAUUGAGUAAUUUUCACUCUAGAGACCCUGGGGUGACCACCAAGGACGAAUGCAAACUCCAGUGAGUGUCUCUAAGGUAGAUCCUAAUGCAGAUGGAUGGAAUGUUGAUCCGCCUAACAUGCAAGGUAAAAGAGCAUUUGAUAGCAUAGUGGAUAAACAAAUAGCUUUUUUUCAUUUUCACAGCAUUUUCAAAAACAACAUAACACUUGCUAUUACAUUGUUAUAUAUUACAUGACAAUGUCUAACUCUGAUCCAUACAAAACAGAUUUUCUGUACCGAGAACUUUGGAUGACCAUCAAGACAGUAAGUUUUCAAAAAUCUAGUAACCAUUUAAGGAUUGUUUUUCUUUUAGUUGAUUUAAAUAAUACCCUAAAGUCCUCCGUUCAUCUUCGGAAACACAGUUUAAGAUAUUUUAGAUGUAGUCCGAGAGCUUGCUGACCCUCCAUUAAAAAUGUAUGUACGAUAUACUGUUCAUGUCCAGUUAGGUAAUAAAAACAUAAUCAAAGUAGUUCAUGUGACAUCAGUGGGUCAGUUAGAAUUUGUUGAAACAUCAAAAAUACAUUUAGGUCCAAAAAUAACGACUUUAUUCGGCAUUGUCUUCUCUUUCAGGUCUGUUGUGAACCGUGUGCAUGACACUGCUGCCGUACAACGCUGCUGGCGUGUUAUCUGGUGCACCCAAGCUUUUUUUUUCGUUUACAGUCUGAGGGAGACGCUGUAAACAAAACAAUCUUCGCAAACAUUUCUGAGGAUAACACGUCAGCAGCGCCACUGUGCACGCGCAUUCGCAACAGACCCGGAAGAGAAGACAAUGCUGAAUAAAUCGUUAUUUUUGGACCAAAAUGUAUUAAUGAUGCUUCAACAAAUUCUAACUGAGCCACUGAUGUCACAUGGACUACUUUGAUGAUGUUUUAAUUUACUUUCUGGAAAUGAGACAGUAUACAGCACAUACAUUUUAUGGAGGGUCAGAAAGCUCUCGGACUAAAUCUAAAACAUCUUACACUGUGUUCCGAAGAUGAAGGGAGGUCUUACAGGUUUGGAACAACAUGAGGGUGAGUCAUUAAUUACAUUAUUUUCAUUUUUGAGUGAACUAUCCCUUUAAAUGGAAAACACCACCGCUUUCCAAAAUGUUACUAUGUUUUUACCUUAGACGAAUUAAUACAUACCCAUCUUUUUUCAAUGCGUGCACUUAAUCUUUGUACAGCGCGUUGUGAAUGUGUUAGCAUUUAGCCUAGCCCCAUUCAUUCCUUAGGAUCCAAACAGGGAUGAAUUUAGAAGCCACCCAACCCUUUCAUGUUUUCCCUAUUUAAAGACUGUUACAUAAGUAGUUACACGAGUAAGUAUGGUGGCACAAAAUAAAAUGUGGCAAUUUUUUAAGCGGUUAAAAAUGAGAACUAUAUUCUAUGGCAAAAGAGCACUAAGUUUGCAGCACUUCGACCUCGGCGCACAGUAACAUCAUCACUCCUGAUUACUCCACCUCUCGCUCAAACUCAAAAGAGGGGGAGUAGUCAGCAGUGAUGAUGUUGCUGGGCUCUGAGGAAUGAAUGGGGCUAGGCUAAAUGCUAACACAUUCACGACGCGCUGUACAAAUAUUAAGUGCAUGCAUUGAUAAAAGAUAGGGAUAUAUUAAUUUAUCUAAGUUGAGGUAAGAACAUAGUAAAAUAUUGAAAAACUGUGGUGUUUUCCUUUAAAAGCAGCACCCCUAUUUAUUUUGGGUGCUAAAAAUAUUUGCCACAGACAGUUUAAGGUCUUAUGCUGCAUUCACACCGCCAACAACCUAGUCACUGUGUGUCAGCCAUUUCUUUUAAUGAGUUUAUCAGAAGGCGUUCCCAAUUCUGGUUGUCCUAGUAAAAACUACAAACAAAUGAGUAACAAUCCUCUCAGUAAAUGACAAAAGAGUGAUGACAUGAACUUCACUGCUUCACUCUCAUUGGUAGUUGCUCCCAAAAGUCCUUCAUCAAGUUGAACUUUCCUCAACGUUGUGGCAUAGCUGGACAUGCCCACUGUUGUCGAUGGUCACAGUUGCUCAUGUUGCUGAAUGGGGCAAAGCUUCCAUUGGAAUGAACGAGAUUGUGUUGCUAGUCGCUGGCAGUGUACAAGCAGCAUUAGUGUGUGUCUUUAAAAAUAUAUCAAAUGCAAAUUACCUGAUCUAACAUUCCCAGCUACAGAGGGCAUCCUUUAUUCAGUCCCUAAUGCAGAUGGUUGGAGUGUUGAUCCACCUAACAUGAGGGAGCACUCGUUUUGAGUCCUGAGACCCUGGGGUGACCACCGUGUACACAUACAGAGUAAGUUACCUAAAAAAAAAAACAAUAAUAAUAUUUAUUUAUAAAAAGUUCUUAUAAAAAAGCAUCAUUAUUUACUCAGAUGAA